GUGGAGUUGGGACAGGGCAUGGUAAGGUAGUGACACAGCCCAUCAUAAGUGCCUAUUGGGGGAGGGACGAGGGUGUAGGAGGGCUGCA